UAGCUUGUGGUGUAAUGGCAGCAUGGAAGACUUUGAAUCUUUCGGUACAGGUUCAAAUCCUGUCAAGUUAACCA
rnacentral:tRNA from 2 species